GACGAACGCUGGCGGCGUGCCUAAUACAUGCAAGUUGAGCGCUGAAGGUUGGUACUUGUACCAACUGGAUGAGCAGCGAACGGGUGAGUAACGCGUGGGGAAUCUGCCUUUGAGCGGGGGACAACAUUUGGAAACGAAUGCUAAUACCGCAUAAAAACUUUAAACACAAGUUUUAAGUUUGAAAGAUGCAAUUGCAUCACUCAAAGAUGAUCCCGCGUUGUAUUAGCUAGUUGGUGAGGUAAAGGCUCACCAAGGCGAUGAUACAUAGCCGACCUGAGAGGGUGAUCGGCCACAUUGGGACUGAGACACGGCCCAAACUCCUACGGGAGGCAGCAGGAGGGAAUCUUCGGCCAGGGACGAAAGUCUGACCGAGCAACGCCGCGGGAGGGAAGAAGGUUGUCGGAUCGUAAAACUCUGUUGGUAGAGAAGAACGUUGGUGAGAGUGGAAAGCUCAUCAAGUGACGGUAACUACCCAGAAAGGGACGGCUAACUACGUG
rnacentral:rRNA from 1 species